rnacentral:ncRNA from 1 species
GGUUAAGCGACUAAGCGUACACGGUGGAUGCCUAGGCAGUCAGAGGCGAUGAAGGGCGUGCUAAUCUGCGAUAAGCGUCGGUAAGGUGAUAUGAACCGUUACAACCGACGAUACCCGAAUGGGGAAACCCAGUGCAAUUCGUUGCACUAUUGCAUGGUGAAUACAUAGCCAUGCAAGGCGAACCGGGGGAACUGAAACAUCUAAGUACCCCGAGGAAAAGAAAUCAACCGAGAUUCCCCCAGUAGCGGCGAGCGAACGGGGAAGAGCCCAGAGUCUGAAUCAGUUUGUGUGUUAGUGGAAGCGUCUGGAAAGUCGCACGGUACAGGGUGAUAGUCCCGUACACAAAAACACACCUUCUGUGAACUCGAUGAGUAGGGCGGGACACGUGACAUCCUGUCUGAAUAUGGGGGGACCAUCCUCCAAGGCUAAAUACUCCUGACUGACCGAUAGUGAACCAGUACCGUGAGGGAAAGGCGAAAAGAACCCCGGCGAGGGGAGUGAAAUAGAACCUGAAACCGUGUACGUACAAGCAGUGGGAGCACCUUCGUGGUGUGACUGCGUACCUUUUGUAUAAUGGGUCAGCGACUUAUAUUUUGUAGCAAGGUUAACCGAAUAGGGGAGCCGUAGGGAAACCGAGUCUUAACUGGGCGUCUAGUUGCAAGGUAUAGACCCGAAACCCGGUGAUCUAGCCAUGGGCAGGUUGAAGGUUGGGUAACACUAACUGGAGGACCGAACCGACUAAUGUUGAAAAAUUAGCGGAUGACUUGUGGCUGGGGGUGAAAGGCCAAUCAAACCGGGAGAUAGCUGGUUCUCCCCGAAAGCUAUUUAGGUAGCGCCUCGUGAACUCAUCUUCGGGGGUAGAGCACUGUUUCGGCUAGGGGGUCAUCCCGACUUACCAAACCGAUGCAAACUCCGAAUACCGAAGAAUGUUAUCACGGGAGACACACGGCGGGUGCUAACGUCCGUCGUGAAGAGGGAAACAACCCAGACCGCCAGCUAAGGUCCCAAAGUCAUGGUUAAGUGGGAAACGAUGUGGGAAGGCAUAGACAGCCAGGAUGUUGGCUUAGAAGCAGCCAUCAUUUAAAGAAAGCGUAAUAGCUCACUGGUCGAGUCGGCCUGCGCGGAAGAUGUAACGGGGCUAAACCAUGCACCGAAGCUGCGGCAGCGACGCUUAGGCGUUGUUGGGUAGGGGAGCGUUCUGUAAGCCGUUGAAGGUGGCCUGUGAGGGCUGCUGGAGGUAUCAGAAGUGCGAAUGCUGACAUAAGUAACGAUAAUGCGGGUGAAAAACCCGCACGCCGGAAGACCAAGGGUUCCUGUCCAACGUUAAUCGGGGCAGGGUGAGUCGACCCCUAAGGCGAGGCUGAAAAGCGUAGUCGAUGGGAAACAGGUUAAUAUUCCUGUACUUGGUGUUACUGCGAAGGGGGGACGGAGAAGGCUAGGCUAGCCGGGCGACGGUUGUCCCGGUUUAAGCAUGUAGGCGGAGUGACUUGGUAAAUCCGGUUGCUUAUCAACGCUGAGGUGUGAUGACGAUGCACUACGGUGCAGAAGUAGUUGAUGCCAAGCUUCCAGGAAAAGCCUCUAAGCAUCAGGUAACAUUGAAUCGUACCCCAAACCGACACAGGUGGUCAGGUAGAGAAUACUCAGGCGCUUGAGAGAACUCGGGUGAAGGAACUAGGCAAAAUGGUGCCGUAACUUCGGGAGAAGGCACGCUGGCAUUAGGUAAAGAGACUUGCUCUCGGCGCCGAAGCCAGUCGCAGAUACCAGCUGGCUGCAACUGUUUAAUAAAAACACAGCACUGUGCAAACACGAAAGUGGACGUAUACGGUGUGACGCCUGCCCGGUGCUGGAAGGUUAAUUGAUGGGGUCAGCCGCAAGGCGAAGCUCUUGAUCGAAGCCCCAGUAAACGGCGGCCGUAACUAUAACGGUCCUAAGGUAGCGAAAUUCCUUGUCGGGUAAGUUCCGACCUGCACGAAUGGCGUAAUGAUGGCCAGGCUGUCUCCACCCGAGACUCAGUGAAAUUGAACUCGCUGUGAAGAUGCAGUGUACCCGCGGCAAGACGGAAAGACCCCGUGAACCUUUACUAUAGCUUGACACUGAACAUUGAGCCUUGAUGUGUAGGAUAGGUGGGAGGCAUUGAAGUGUGGACGCCAGUCUGCAUGGAGCCAACCUUGAAAUACCACCCUUUAAUGUUUGAUGUUCUAACUCGGCCCC